CCUACGGGUGGCUGCAGUGAGGAAUAUUGGUCAAUGGGCGCGAGCCUGAACCAGCCAAGUAGCGUGAAGGAUGACUGCCCUAUGGGUUGUAAACUUCUUUUAUAUGGGAAUAAAGUGUUCCACGUGUGCGUUUUUGUAUGUACCAUAUGAAUAAGGAUCGGCUAACUCCGUGCCAGCAGCCGCGGUAAUACGGAGGAUCCGAGCGUUAUCCGGAUUUCUUGGGUUUAAAGGGAGUGUAGAUGGGUUGUUAAGUCAGUUGUGAAGGUUUGCGGCUCAACCGUAAAAUUGCAGUUGAUACUGGCAGUCUUGAGGACAGUUGAGGUAGGCAGAAGUCGUGGUGUAGCGGUG
rnacentral:rRNA from 1 species